GAGAAUUUUAGGACGCCCCAACUCACUAAUUCCAUUCGCGGCCAGCAUACACAAGGACACAAGGCGUGCGGUACGCAACAACAAUCUCCUCAGCGACUUGCGUAGCAGUACGCGUCCACGAUCGAGAUCGUCCAUAUAAUUGAGUCGAUCUGUUUCAUUACUCGAUCGUCAUCGCGGGCCAUUAUUAAUCCGCACACGCGACAUGCCCUUACAUAGUUAAUGGCCGGCCAGUCAGGCCCGUGGCAUUGGUAACCACCAGCAGCAACGCCACCUCAAGAAACGCUGCCAUGGCAGAGGCAGAGGGAUCGGCCAUGUAGGCAGCGGCACCGGCGGCGGAGGAAGAACUGUCUGGCAAUAUAUCGAUGGUGGUGCAGGUGGUGCUGCUCGCCGCGCCGGCGGUCGGCGGGCUCCUCCUGCACGCGUUCAAGUUGUCCAUCCUGCUGUGGCCGUUCAACCUCACGCUGCCGCUGCUGCGCCACNNNNN
rnacentral:lncRNA from 1 species